GACGAACGCUGGCGGCGUGCUCAACACAUGCAAGUCGAGCGGUAAGGCCCUUUCGGGGGUACACGAGCGGCGAACGGGUGAGUAACACGUGGGUGACCUGCCCUUAGCUCUGGGAUAAGCCUGGGAAACUGGGUCUAAUACCGGAUAUGACUCCAUGACGCAUGUUGUGGGGUGGAAAGCCUUGUGCGGCUAGGGAUGGGCCCGCGGCCUAUCAGCUUGUUGGUGGGGUGAUGGCCACCAAGGCGACGACGGGUAGCCGGCCUGAGAGGGCGACCGGCCACACUGGGACUGAGACACGGCCCAGACUCCUACGGGAGGCAGCAGGUGGGGAAUCUUGCGCAAUGGGCGAAAGCCUGACGCAGCGACGCCGCGUGAGGGAUGACGGCC
rnacentral:rRNA from 1 species